rnacentral:rRNA from 1 species
GUCCACGCCCUAAACGAUGUCAACUAGUUGUUGGGGGACUUACCUCCCUUAGUAACGCAGCUAACGCGUGAAGUUGACCGCCUGGGGAGUACGGUCGCAAGAUUAAAACUCAAAGGAAUUGACGGGGCCCGCACAAGCGGUGGAUGAUGUGGAUUAAUUCGAUGCAACGCGAAAAACCUUACCUACCCUUGACAUGCCAGGAAGUCCGUGGAGACAUGGAUGUGCUCGAAAGAGAGCCUGGACACAGGUGCUGCAUGGCUGUCGU